rnacentral:rRNA from 1 species
GGGGAAUAUUGCGCAAUGGGGGAACCCCUGAGCCACGGCCCCGGGGGGGGGGAGAAAGGCUUUCGGUUGUUAACCCCCGUUCGGGAGGGAGAACCCCCCAGGGUCGGAUUGGGGCCUGGGGCGAACGUUCUUCCCAAGGGAGGACCGGGCAAAUCCGUGGCAGCAGCCGCGGUAAUACGGAGGGUGCAAGCGUUAAUCGGAAUCACUGGGCGAAAGCGCGCGUAGGCGGCUUUUUAAGUCGGACGUGAAAGCCCUCGGCUCAACCGGGGAAUUGCGUUCGAAACUGGGAGGCUUGAGUCCUGGAGAGGGUGGCGGAAUUCCGGGUGUAGGACUGAAAUCCGUAGAUAUCCGGAGGAACACCGGUGGCGAAGGCGGCCACCUGGACAGGUACUGACGCUGAGGCGCGAAAGCGUGAGGAGCAAACA